rnacentral:rRNA from 1 species
CAGCGCGGGGGCAACCCUGGCGGCGAGUGGCGAACGGGUGAGUAAUGCAUCGGAACGUGCCCGGUAGUGGGGGAUAGCUCGGCGAAAGCCGGAUUAAUACCGCAUACGCACUAUGGUGGAAAGCGGGGGAUCGCAAGACCUCGCGCUAUCGGAGCGGCCGAUGUCGGAUUAGCUUGUUGGUGGGGUAAAGGCCUACCAAGGCGACGAUCCGUAGCUGGUCUGAGAGGACGACCAGCCACACUGGGACUGAGACACGGCCCAGACUCCUACGGGAGGCAGCAGUGGGGAAUUUUGGACAAUGGGCGAAAGCCUGAUCCAGCAAUGCCGCGUGUGCGAAGAAGGCCUUCGGGUUGUAAAGCACUUUUGUCCGGAAAGAAAUCCGUCUGGCUAAUACCCGGAUGGGAUGACGGUACCGGAAGAAUAAGCACCGGCUAACUACGUGCCAGCAGCCGCGGUAAUACGUAGGGUGCGAGCAUUAAUCGGAAUUACUGGGCGUAAAGCGUGCGCAGGCGGCGAUGCAAGACAGGUGUGAAAUCCCCGGGCUUAACCUGGGAACUGCACUUGUGACUGCAUGGCUAGAGUGCGUCAGAGGGGGGUGGAAUUCCGCGUGUAGCAGUGAAAUGCGUAGAGAUGCGGAGGAACACCGAUGGCGAAGGCAGCCCCCUGGGAUGACACUGACGCUCAGGCACGAAAGCGUGGG